rnacentral:misc_RNA from 1 species
AGAAGACCAUUUUUCAGGUUUCCAGAAAAAUCAUUCUAAAGGAAGCUUUGUAAUGGAUGCAAGAAACAACAUAUCGAAAGGAGCAGUAUCUAGUAGAAGAAGCAGUGGAGCAACUAAAUUAGCUCAUAACAUGGAUUUGUUUUCACCCUUUGUCUUUUCAUCUAGUUAUGAAUGAACUCAUCAUGCAUUUUAGAAAAUUCUCAGGUCCACAUUUUGAGUGGAAAUUAAAAGGUAUUGAUACCAAAGAUGGAACUAUAUUCACAGUUGAUUAACAGUUCAAGCCGUG